rnacentral:rRNA from 1 species
GAUCGAACAAGCGCAAGAAGGGCGUUUGGCGGAUGCCUUGGCGUUGAGAGGCGAUGAAGGACGUGGCACUCUGCGAUAAGCCGCGGGGAGAUGAGAGCAAUCUUUGAUCCGCGGAUUUCCGAAUGGGGAAACCCACCCGUAAGGGUAUCCUGCUUGCAGGAGGCAAACCCGGGGAACUGAAACAUCUAAGUACCCGGAGGAAAGGACAUCAACAUGAGACUCCCCUAGUAGUGGCGAGCGAACGGGGACCAGGCCAUUAGCAAACUGUUCAAACUGGAACCGUGCUGGAAAGCCGGACCAUAGCGGGUGACAGUCCCGUACAGGUAAACGGACAGGGCGCUAUCGAGUAGGGCGGGACACGUGAAAUCCUGUCUGAACAUGGGGGGACCAUCCUCCAAGCCUAAGUACUCCUCAACGACCGAUAGCGAACGAGUACCGUGAGGGAAAGGUGAAAAGCACCCCGAUUAGGGGAGUGAAAGAGACCCUGAAACCGGACGCCUACAAGCAGUGGGAGCCCCCUUCGAGGGGUGACCGCGUACCUCUUGCAUAAUGGGUCAGCGACUUGAUCUGUGUAGCGAGCUUAAGCCGCUAGGCGUAGGCGCAGCGAAAGCGAGUCUGAACAGGGCGACGAGUUACAUGGAUCAGACCCGAAACCUGGUGAUCUAGGCAUGGGCAGGCUGAAGGUGCGGUAACACGCACUGGAGGGCCGAACCCACCGAUGUUGAAAAAUCGGGGGAUGACCUGUGCCUAGGGGUGAAAGGCCAAGCAAACCAGGAAAUAGCUGGUUCUCCGCGAAACCUAUUUAGGUAGGCCGUCGGGUGUAUGCCUGCGGGGGUAGAGCACUGGAUGGGCUAGGGGGGCGCGAGCCUUACCAAACCUAACCAAACUCCGAAUACCGUAGAGCACUGCCCGGCAGACAGACGGCGGGUGCUAAGGUCCGUCGUCGAAAGGGAAACAGCCCAGACCGCCAGCUAAGGUCCCUAAAUCAUGGCUAAGUGGGAAAGGAUGUGGGACGACCAAGACAGCCAGGAGGUUGGCUUAGAAGCAGCCACCCUUUAAAGAAAGCGUAACAGCUCACUGGUCUAAAUAAGUUGUCCUGCGCCGAAAAUGUAACGGGGCUCAAGCCAUGUACCGAAGCUGCGGAUGUUCUCAGGUAUCAGUUGCCAGGAAUCAGGAAUCAGUGUGGUGGAGCUAGAUGAUCCACUCGUUUGAAGACUUGGAAGUAUUCAAGCGGGCCUACAGGAUUUCUCUCGCGAUCCAUACUGAAAGCCUAAACUGGCCUCAGAUCGAACAGCAUGCUCUGGCAAGCCAAAUUCGUCGGGCGAGUAAGUCGAUACCGGCGAAUAUCGCAGAAGGAUUUGGCAAACAGCGCGUUUCCGCCAAAGAGUUCAAACGCUUCUUGAUGAUUGCGUUGGGCUCGACCGAAGAGAUGCGCGUCUGGUGCAGAUAUGCCUACGAUCUGGGCUAUAUCGACAAAGCGUCUUGGGACGAAUGGCGGAGAGAAUACCGCGAGAUCGCCAAGAUGCUGCAGGGAUUGGCGAAUACGCUGGAUAACCGGCGUUAUUCUGAUCCCUGAUUCCUGACAUCUGAUACCUGUUGAACAUGGUAGCGGAGCGUUCCGUAUGCCUGCGAAGCGCGCCUGUGAGGGCGCGUGGAGGUAUCGGAAGCGAGAAUGCUGACACGAGUAGCGAUAAAGAGUGUGAGAAACACUCUCGCCGAAAGCCCAAGGGUUCCUGCGUAAAGCUAAUCUGCGCAGGGUUAGCCGGCCCCUAAGGCGAGGCCGAAAGGCGUAGCCGAUGGGAACACGGUAAACAUUCCGUGGCCUGUCAGGAGUUGACGAAGGCCGAAAGCUGUCCGUCCUUAUCGGAUUGGUCGGGCAGCCUGGGACUUCCAGGAAAUAGCCCUGACGUUAGACCGUACCCCAAACCGACACAGGUGGGCUGGUAGAGCAUACCAAGGCGCUUGAGAGAACGGUGCUGAAGGAACUCGGCAAAAUGCCUCCGUAAGUUCGCGAGAAGGAGGCCCGGUCAGUGGGCAACCAUUGGCCGGGGGCACAAACCAGGGGGUGGCGACUGUUUACUAAAAACACAGGGCUCUGCGAAGUCGCAAGACGACGUAUAGGGUCUGACGCCUGCCCGGUGCCGGAAGGUUAAGGAGAGGGGUGCAAGCUCUGAACCGAAGCCCCGGUAAACGGCGGCCGUAACUAUAACGGUCCUAAGGUAGCGAAAUUCCUUGUCGGGUAAGUUCCGACCUGCACGAAUGGCGUAACGACUUCCCCGCUGUCUCCAGCACCGACUCAGCGAAACUGAAUUCUCCGUGAAGAUGCGGAGUAGCCGCGGCUAGACGGAAAGACCCCGUGCACCUUUACUACAGCUUCGCACUGGCAUUAGGACCGUCAUGUGUAGGAUAGGCGGGAGCCUUUGAAGCGCUGGCGCCAGUUGGCGUGGAGGCAUCCUUGAAAUACCGCCCUUAACGCUUCUGAUAUCUAACCGCGAUCCGUGAACCCGGGUCCGGGACCGUGCGUGGCGGGUAGUUUGACUGGGGCGGUCGCCUCCCAAAGAGUAACGGAGGCGCGCGAAGGUUGGCUCAAGCUGGUCGGAAAUCAGCUGUGGAGUGCAAAGGCAUAAGCCAGCCUGACUGCGAGGCCGACGGGCCGAGCAGAGACGAAAGUCGGCCUUAGUGAUCCGGUGGUCCCGCAUGGAAGGGCCAUCGCUCAACGGAUAAAAGGUACGCCGGGGAUAACAGGCUGAUGAUUCCCAAGAGUUCACAUCGACGGAAUCGUUUGGCACCUCGAUGUCGGCUCAUCACAUCCUGGGGCUGGAGCAGGUCCCAAGGGUACGGCUGUUCGCCGUUUAAAGUGGUACGUGAGCUGGGUUUAGAACGUCGUGAGACAGUUUGGUCCCUAUCUGCCGUGGCUGUACGAGACUUGAGAGGAGCUGCCCCUAGUACGAGAGGACCGGGGUGGACGUACCUCUGGUGUACCUGUUGUGGCGCCAGCCGCACCGCAGGGUAGCUAAGUACGGACGGGAUAACCGCUGAAAGCAUCUAAGCGGGAAGCCUCCCUCGAAACGAGGUCUCGCCUGAGAGCCGUGGAAGACCACCACGUUGAUAGGCCGGGUGUGGAAGUGCAGCAAUGCAUGAAGCUAACCGGUACUAAUCGCUCGAUCGGCUUGUUCUUUCCCC